rnacentral:rRNA from 1 species
UAGAUACCCUGGUAGUCCACGCUGUAAACGUUGGGCACUAGGUGUGGGGGCCACCCGUGGUUUCUGCGCCGUAGCUAACGCUUUAAGUGCCCCGCCUGGGGAGUACGGCCGCAAGGCUAAAACUCAAAGGAAUUGACGGGGGCCCGCACAAGCGGCGGAGCAUGCGGAUUAAUUCGAUGCAACGCGAAGAACCUUACCAAGCUUGACAUGCGCCCUGGGCGUGCGGAGACGUGCGUGCAUUUGGUUGGGG